UACGUAGGCAGCAAGCGUUGUUCGGAAUUACUGGGCGUAAAGAGUGUGUAGGCGGUGCUCUAAGUUCGGUGUGAAAUCUCCCGGCUCAACUGGGAGGGUGCGCCGGAAACUGGAGUGCUGGAGCGCGGGAGAGGAAAGCGGAAUUCCUGGUGUAGCGGUGAAAUGCGCAGAUAUCAGGAGGAACACCGGUGGCGAAGGCGGAUCUCUGGGCCUUACCUGACGCUGAGGCGCGAAAGCUAGGGGAGCGAACAGG
rnacentral:rRNA from 1 species